rnacentral:rRNA from 1 species
GAUAAACGCUGGCGGCGCACAUGAGACAUGCAAGUCGAACGGACUUAACCGAAAGUUUACUUUUGGAGCGGUUAGUGGCGGACUGGUGAGUAACACGUAAGCAACCUGCCUAUCAGAGGGGAACAACAGUUAGAAAUGACUGCUAAUACCGCAUAUGCCUAAGUACCACAUGGUACAAUAGGGAAAGAAGCAAUUCGCUGAUAGAUGGGCUUGCGUCUGAUUAGAUAGUAGGCGGGGUAACGGCCCACCUGGUCUUCGAUGGAUAGGGGUUCUGAGAGGAAGGUCCCCCACAUUGGAACUGAGACACGGUCCAA